UGAACGCUGGCGGCGUGCCUAACACAUGCAAGUCGAACGAAGCAUCUGCCCGACAAAGAGGAGAGCUUGCUCAAAUCGGAGUCAAUUAAGAUGACUUAGUGGCGGACGGGUGAGUAACGCGUGGGUAACCUGCCUCACACGGGGGGAUAACAGUUAGAAAUGACUGCUAAUACCGCAUAAGCGCACACUAUCGCAUGAUAGAGUGUGAAAAACUUUCGUGGUGUGAGAUGGACCCGCGUCUGAUUAGCCGGUUGGCAGGGUAACGGCCUACCAAAGCAACGAUCAGUAGCCGGCCUGAGAGGGUGAACGGCCACAUUGGGACUGAGACACGGCCCAAACUCCUACGGGAGGCAGCAGUGGGGGAUAUUGCACAAUGGGGGAAACCCUGAUGCAGCGAACCGCCGCGUGAGUGAUGAAGUAUUUCGGUAUGUAAAGCUCUAUCAGCAGGGAAGAAAAUGACGGUACCUGACUAAGGAGCUCCGGCUAAAUACGUGCCAGCAGCCGC
rnacentral:rRNA from 1 species